UACAGAGGGUGCAAGCGUUAAUCGGAAUUACUGGGCGUAAAGCGUGCGUAGGUGGAUGCUUAAGUCAAAUGUGAAAGCCCCGGGCUCAACCUGGGAAUUGCAUCUGAUACUGGGUAUCUAGAGUAUGGUAGAGGAUGGCGGAAUUUCCGGUGUAGCGGUGAAAUGCGUAGAUAUCGGAAGGAACACCAGUGGCGAAGGCGGCCGUCUGGGCCAAUACUGACACUGAGGCACGAAAGCGUGGGUAGCAAACAGG
rnacentral:misc_RNA from 1 species